rnacentral:rRNA from 1 species
UACGGGGGGGGCAAGCGUUGUUCGGAAUUACUGGGCGUAAAGGGCUUGUAGGUGGCCAACUAAGUCAGACGUGAAACCCCUCGGCUUAACCGGGGAACUGCGUCUGAUACUGGAUGGCUGGAGUGUGGGAGAGGGAUGCGGAAUUCCAGGUGUAGCGGUGAAAUGCGUAGAUAUCUGGAGGAACACCGGUGGCGAAGGCGGCAUCCUGGACCAUUACUGACACUGAAAAGCGAAAGCCAGGGGAGCAAACGGG